CAGGCAGAGGCUGCUCAGUGACAGCAGUGAUAAGGCUCAGUCACUGUGUUCAGAUAACCGGGCAGCUAAGGGAGCAUGUCACCCGUUGGGAAUCCCCUGGAGGACAUCCCUGAGCCACUUGCAUGUCAGACACUAUCAGUGUACAGGAAGGACCAGCACUCCCUCUUGCAGAUGUGCUGGGAUGAGCUCAGGGCCUUCCUGGGAGACACAGGAGAUGGAACUCCUCCUGGUGCCCCAAACCAAGGAGAAGCAGCAGGUGCACAAGUUAUGGUGAAGGAUUAACUAUGAGCCUGGAAACCACCAGCAAAAAAAAAAAAAACAA